rnacentral:tRNA from 1 species
GGGCCGCUAGCUCAUCCGGUAGAGCAUCGCCCUUUUAAGGCGGUGGUGGUUGGUUCGAGUCCAACGCGGCUCACCA